rnacentral:rRNA from 1 species
GACGAACGCUGGCGGCGUGCUUAACACAUGCAAGUCGAACGGCAAGGCCCUGCUUUUUUGGUCUUCUCGGUUGGCGAACGCGUGCGUAACACGUAUGUAACCUGCCCUUCACUUUCGUAUAACUUCACGAAACUGGGGCUACUCUCGUAUAGCAUCUCCUGCUGCAUUGUGGGGGUUGGAACUUUUCGGCUGUCGGGGAUGGACUGGCGGGUUAUCAGCUUGUUUGUGGGGUAGUUGCUUUCCAAGGCUUUGACUGGUAGCCGGCCUGAGAGGGUGACCGGCCACAUUGGGACUGAGAGACGGCCCAGACUGCUACGGGAGGCAGCAGUGGGGAAUAUUGCACAAUGGGCGGAAGGCUGAUGCAGCAACGCCGCGUGCGGGAUGACGGCCUUCGGGUUGUAAACCGCUUUCGCCUGUGACGAAGCGUGAGUGACGGUAAUGGAUAAAGAAGCACCGGCUAACUACGUG